AUUGAACGCUGGCGGCAGGCCUAACACAUGCAAGUCGAACGGUAACAGGAAGCAGCUUGCUGCUUCGCUGACGAGUGGCGGACGGGUGAGUAAUGUCUGGGAAACUGCCUGAUGGAGGGGGAUAACUACUGGAAACGGUAGCUAAUACCGCAUAACGUCGCAAGACCAAAGAGGGGGACCUUAGGGCCCCUUGCCAUCGGAUGUGCCCAGAUGGGAUUAGCUAGUAGGUGGGGUAACGGCUCACCUAGGCGACGAUCCCUAGCUGGUCUGAGAGGGUGACCAGCCACACUGGAACUGAGACACGGUCCAGACUCCUACGGGAGGCAGCAGUGGGGAAUAUUGCACAAUGGGCGCAAGCCUGAUGCAGCCAUGCCGCGUGUAUGAAGAAGGCCUUCGGGUUGUAAAGUACUUUCAGCGGGGAGGAAGGGAGUAAAGUUAAUACCUUUGCUCAUUGACGUUACCCGCAGAAGAAGCGCCGGCUAACUCCGUG
rnacentral:rRNA from 1 species